GACGAACGCUGGCGGCGUGCUUAACACAUGCAAGUCGAACGGAAAGGCCCUGCUUUUGUGGGGUGCUCGAGUGGCGAACGGGUGAGUAACACGUGAGUAACCUGCCCUUGACUUUGGGAUAACUUCAGGAAACUGGGGCUAAUACCGGAUAGGAGCUCCUGCUGCAUGGUGGGGGUUGGAAAGUUUCGGCGGUUGGGGAUGGACUCGCGGCUUAUCAGCUUGUUGGUGGGGUAGUGGCUUACCAAGGCUUUGACGGGUAGCCGGCCUGAGAGGGUGACCGGCCACAUUGGGACUGAGAUACGGCCCAGACUCCUACGGGGGGCAGCAGUGGGGAAUAUUGCACAAUGGGCGGAAGCCUGAUGCAGCAACGCCGCGUGCAGGAUGACGGCCUUCGGGUUGUAAACCGCUUUCGCCUGUGACGAAGCGUGAGUGACGGUAAUGGGUAAAGAAGCACCGGCUAACUACGUG
rnacentral:rRNA from 1 species